GCCAGCAUGGUGCAAUGGUUUUAACAUUGGACUACGACUCCAGAGACUAGGGUUCGAAUCCCGGCUUGGCC